rnacentral:rRNA from 1 species
CCUACGGGUGACAGCAGUGAGGAAUAUUGGUCAAUGGACGAGAGUCUGAACCAGCCAAGUAGCGUGAAGGAUGACGGCCCUAUGGGUUGUAAACUUCUUUUAUAAAGGAAUAAACCGCGGCACGUGUGCCCUUUUGCAUGUACCUUAUGAAUAAGGAUCGGCUAACUCCGUGCCAGCAGACGCGGUAAUACGGAGGAUCCGAGCGUUAUCCGGAUUUAUUGGGUUUAAAGGGUGCGUAGGUGGGUUGUUAAGUCAGCUGUGAAAGGUCGCGGCUCAACCGUGGAAUUGCCGUUGAUACUGUCAGUCUUGAGUGCAGGUGAGGUAGGCGGAAUGCGUGGUGUAGCGGUGAAAUGCUUAGAUAUCACGCAGAACCCCGAUUGCGAAGGCAGCUUACUAAACUGUAACUGACGUUGAUGCACGAAAGUGUGGGUAUCAAACAGGAUUAGAUACCCUAGUAGUC